ensembl:lncRNA
AUCAGGCAGGAGUCCACGUCCCUUCUUCCCCUUGACGGGGUCCCCCCUUCCUCCAUCCUCCCGGCUGGGGUCCCCUGUAGCUGCGGGCUUGGUAGAGCCUCGCUCCCUCUCACCCUGUGUGAUGGGCUCGGGGGUCACCAUGGCUGGGCCGGGGGCGCGGAAGGCAGAGGCAGCAGCUGCAGAGGGAGCCCAGAUCUGACUGGGGGAGGGGGGUCAGACCGGGAAGGGGGGGGACUGGAGAGGGACCUCCGGGUUGGGGGCGGUGGAAAGGGCGGAGGCGGACACUGCAGCCAAUGGGGGCUCCGUGGGGGGGGGGGGGGGGGGGGGGGCGCAUGCCCAAUCCCCGCCUCGAGUGUCUGCGGAGCCCGUGGGCGGGGGCGCCUCCUAGUGGGGGGAGAGAGGGAGCGUCAGCCUUUCGGGGCCUCGGGCGGCCGGACCGGCUGUGGGACAGAGACACGGACUGCGCGCGGAAGAAGACUGGCCUUUAUUACAGUGACCACACCCCCUUCUCUAAGUGGGGCUACUCAGGAAGGGGCUCCGAAAUCAGACUCACGGCGGAUGGAACUGCGGAAAGUGCCCUCUUCUUCAUCGGGCUCCCCGGUUCUGAGAAGUGCGAGAAAGGCAAGGGAGGGUCCUGUUAGGCCAAUGGAUGAAGGGGGAUGGGGGGGGGAGAGGAGAGAGAGAGAGAGACAGAGACAGAGACAGAGACAGAGAGAAGAGAGAGACUGAGAGACAGAGAGAGAGGAGAGAGAAAGACAGAGAGACAGAGACACAGAAAGACAGAGAGAGACACAGAGAGACAGAGACAGAGAGAGAGAAGGAAGAGGAGGAGGUGAGAACAGAAAGGGGAGAGAGAAGAAAGAGAAUUAGAAAAAACAGAAUUUGAGAUAGAGCAAGAUAGAAAUGAAGAGACAGGAACACACAGAUUGUGCAUGUGUGUGUCUGUGUGUGUGUGUGUCCAGAGUGGAUUAAGAUAAAAAAGAUACAGUCAGAGAUAGAGAUGAAAAUAGAAUCUGAGAUGGUGCAAGACAGAAAUAGAGAGAGAGAAAGGCAAAAGUAGAGAGAUGAAACUACAAUCACAAUACAGAGAAGAGGUGAGAAAUGAAGAUGGAGUCAGAAGCAGAGCUGGAGAGGGAAGGGAUGACAAAGUAAAAAAACCAAUCAGCUACAUCCCAAGUUCAUAGUCUCACAUACAAUCUUCCUUUCCCCUUUUCCUUUCCACUGAAAUGUCAUGUGUGUUGCGUUCAUAACAAAAAAAGAAACAGAAACUGAAUGUUAAAAAUGAAAGUUGUGUCAAAACCAGACGUGGAGAAAGAUUUGGAAAGACAAAAACAAUCCUGGGAGAGAGGGAGAGGUUAAAAGAGGGGAGAGAGAAGUGAAGGUGGAGAAUGGAGUGCAAGGGAACACAGAGAGAUAGUCAGAGAUACAGAGACAGAGAAAAAGAGAUGAUUCCAAGAUAUGCAAGGAGAAGAACAAAAGUAGAAAAGUAAGAUAGACUCGAGGAAGGUUGAGAGAUAGAUGAAGAAACAAAGAAGAUAAAACUCAUGAAAACAAAAAACAGAA